rnacentral:rRNA from 1 species
UACAGAGGGUGCAAGCGUUGUUCGGAAUUAUUGGGCGUAAAGGGAGUGUAGGCGGUUCUUUAAGUCUUCUGUGAAAUCUACGGGCUUAGCUUGUAACGUGCAGAGGAAACUGAAGGGCUUGAGUGUCGGAGAGGAUAGGGGAAUUCCCGGUGUAGAGGUGAAAUUCGUAGAGAUCGGGAGGAACACCAGUGGCGAAGGCGCCUAUCUGGCUGACAACUGACGCUGAGACACGAAAGCCAGGGGAGCGAACGGG